rnacentral:rRNA from 1 species
GCUCCUCCGGCCAGCUCGGAGAACCGAAACGAAGCAACGUCGCAGCACGAGCAAGGCUCCAUGGCGCGGCUCCUCCUCGUACUCGUAGCCACCACCAUGCUGCUGCUCGCCGCCGGCGCGACGGCCCAGCAGCACGGCUGCGAGAACGCGACGUUCCAGGCGGGCCGGUCGUUCGAGCGGUGCCACACCCUGCCCGUGCUCGAGGCCAGCCUAUACUGGACGUACCACGCCGCGAACGGCACCGCGGAGAUCGCGUUCCGCGCGCAGUCCAACGCCACCGGCUGGGUCGCCUGGGGCAUCAACCCCAGCGCCAGCGGCGGCAUGGCUGGCAGCAACGUCUUCGUCGCCUCGCUGGGCGGCAGCGGCGCCGUGUCCGUCCUCACCACCAUCCUGAAGACCACGUCCCCCACGCUGGACAACACCACCCUCUCGUUCGCCGUGCCGGUGCCGCCCACCGCCGAGUACGCGGCCGGCGCGUACACGAUCUACGUGACGGUGGCGCUGCCGGGGAACUCCACGCAGCAGAACACUGUGUGGCAGGCCGGCCCGCUCAGCGGCGGGGCCAUAAUGGCGCACUUGAUGUCCAGGCCGAACUUGCAGAGCGUUAAGAGGCAGGACUUCCUGUCCGGCUAG